rnacentral:rRNA from 1 species
UGGGGAAUAUUGGGCAAUGGGCGGAAGCCUGACCCAGCGACGCCGCGUAGGUGAUGAAGGCCUUCGGGUUGUAAAACCCUUUCGUGCGGAAAGAAUAGUCUCGUAGCGAAUAACUACGGGAUUUGACGGUACCGCAGGAAGAAGCACCGGCUAACUCCGUGCCAGCAGCCGCGGUAAUACGGAGGGUGCAAGCGUUGUUCGGAAUUAUUGGGCGUAAAGGGCGCGUAGGUGGUUGUGAUAGUCAGAUGUGAAAUCCUUCGGCUCAACCGAAGAACUGCAUCUGAAACUUCAUAGCUCGAGUACAGGAGAGGGAAACGGAAUUCCCGGUGUAGAGGUGAAAUUCGUAGAUAUCGGGAGGAACACCAGUGGCGAAGGCGGUUUCCUGGCCUGAUACUGACGCUGAGGCGCGAAAGCGUGGGGAGCAAACA